GCCUCUGUGGCGCAAUUGGCUAGCGCGUUCGGCUGUUAACCGGAAGGCUGGUGGUUCGAUCCCGCCCAGGGGCG
rnacentral:tRNA from 1 species